UACGGAGGGAGCGAGCGUUGUCCGAAGUUACUGGGCGUAAAGCGCGCGUAGGCGGGGGAUUAAGUGAGAAGUGAAAGGCUGAGGCUCAACCUCAUGCAGUGCUUCUCAUACUGGUCCUCUUGAGGGUGGUAGAGAGAAGUGGAAUGGCUGGUGUAGCGGUGAAAUGCGUAGAUAUCGCAAGGAACACCAAGGGCGAAGGCAGAAAACUAGGUACCAAUUAACGCUGAGGAACGACAGCUAGGGGAGCGAAAGGG
rnacentral:rRNA from 1 species